GACGAACGCUGGCGGCGUGCUUAACACAUGCAAGUCGAACGAAGUGGCGAACGGGUGAGUAAUACGUGGGUAACUGCCCUCCUUUUUGGGAUACGCCUUGGAAACGGGGUCUAAUACAGACGAAAGGGGGGGGGCGCGGGGCCUAUCAUCUUGGUGGUGGGGGGAUGGCCUACCAAGUCGGUGACGGGUAGCCGGCCUGGGAGGGUGACCGGCCACCUUGGGCUGAGAUACGGCCCCAACUCCUACUGGAGGAAGCAGUGGGGAAUAUUGCACAAUGGUGGAAACCCGGAUGCAGCAACGCCGCGUGCGGGAUGACGGCCUUCGGGUUGUAAACCGUUUUCAGCCAUGACGCGGUAGUGGCAGAAGAAGCACCGGCUAACUACGUGCCAGCAGCCGCGGUAAUAC
rnacentral:rRNA from 1 species